GAUGAAGAACGUAGCGAAAUGCGAUAAGUAGUGUGAACUGCAGAAUUCAGUGAAUCAUCGAAUCUUUGAACGCACAUUGCGCCCCUUGGUAUUCCAUGGGGCAUGCCUGUUCGAGCGUCAUUUGUACCUUCAAGCUCUGCUUGGUGUUGGGUGUUUGUCUCGCCUCUGCGUGUAGACUCGCCUCAAAACAAUUGGCAGCCGGCGUAUUGAUUUCGGAGCGCAGUACAUCUCGCGCUUUGCACUCAUAACGACGACGUCCAAAAGUACAUUUUUACACUCUUGACCUCGGAUCAGGUAGGGAUACCCGCUGAACUUAAGCAUAUCAAUAAGCGGAGGA
rnacentral:misc_RNA from 1 species